GCGGUCGUGGCGGAAUAGGCAGACGCACCAUCUUGAGGGGGUGGCGGGCAUAGCCCGUGCGAGUUCGAGUCUCGCCGACCGCACCA
rnacentral:tRNA from 1 species